CCUACGGGAGGCAGCAGUGGGGAAUAUUGGACAAUGGGCGAAAGCCUGAUCCAGCAAUGCCGCGUGAGUGAAGAAGGCCUUCGGGUUGUAAAGCUCUUUUACCCGGGAAGAUAAUGACUGUACCGGGAGAAUAAGCUCCGGCUAACUCCGUGCCAGCAGCCGCGGUAAUACGGAGGGAGCUAGCGUUGUUCGGAAUUACUGGGCGUAAAGCGUACGUAGGCGGCUUGGUAAGUCAGAGGUGAAAGCCCACGACUCAAUCGUGGAACUGCCUUUGAGACUGCUUCGCUUGAAGAUGGGAGAGGUUAGUGGAAUUCCGAGUGUAGAGGUGAAAUUCGUAGAUAUUCGGAAGAACACCAGUGGCGAAGGCGGCUAACUGGACCAUUCUUGACGCUGAGGUACGAAAGCGUGGGGAGCAAACAGGAUUAGAUACCCUGGUAGUCCGCGCCGUAAACGAUGAUAACUAGCUGUCGGGGCUCUUGGAGCUUCGGUGGCGCAGCUAACGCAUUAAGUUAUCCGCCUGGGGAGUACGGCCGCAAGGUUAAAACUCAAAAUGAAAUUGACGG
rnacentral:rRNA from 1 species